UACGAAGGGUGCAAGCGUUACUCGGAAUUACUGGGCGUAAAGCGUGCGUAGGUGGUUCGUUAAGUCUGAUGUGAAAGCCCUGGGCUCAACCUGGGAAUGGCAUUGGAAACUGGCGACCUAGAGUGCGGUAGAGGGUAGUGGAAUUCCCGGUGUAGCAGUGAAAUGCGUAGAGAUCGGGAGGAACAUCCGUGGCGAAGGCGACUACCUGGACCAGCACUGACACUGAGGCACGAAGGCCAGGGGAGCAAACGGG
rnacentral:rRNA from 1 species